rfam:Gossypium hirsutum cultivar TM-1 unplaced genomic scaffold scaffold3926.1, whole genome shotgun sequence
AAACCAUGCAUAGGGCAUUUUCUAAUUAACUCCUUGAAUUUCUCCCAUGCUCCAUAUAAUGUUUCAUCAUCCUCGGAUGGCCCAAAGGAGAUAAUAUUGUUCCUCAAUUU